rnacentral:rRNA from 1 species
GUCUUUAAGAUUUUAAUUUUAAGUCUGGCCUGCCCAUUGAUAAAUUUAACGGCCGCAGUAUUUUGACUGUGCGAAGGUAGCAUAAUAAUUAGUUUUUUAAUUAAAAGCUUGUAUGAAUGGUUAGACAAGGAAAAUUCUGUCUCUGCUUAAUUUUAUUAGAAUUUUAUUUUUAAGUUAAAAAGCUUAAAUAUAUUUAAAAGACGAGAAGACCCUAUAGAGUUUUAUAUAAAUAAUUAUUGAUUAAUUUAAGGAAUAAUUUAUAUAAAUAAUUUAUAUAUUUAGUUGGGGUGAUUUUAAAAUUUAAUUAACUUUUAAUAUAUUUAAACAUUAAUAAAUGAUUUUAUGAUCCAAUUUUAUUGAUUAAAAGAUUAAAUUACCUUAGGGAUAACAGCGUUAUUUUUUUAGAGAGUUCUUAUCGAUAAAAAAGAUUGCGACCUCGAUGUUGGAUUAAAAUUAAUUUUUAAUGUAGAAGUUAAGAAUAUUAGGUCUGUUCGACCUUUAAAAUUUUACAUGAUCUGAGUUUAAACCGGUGUGAGCCAGGUUGGUUUCUAUCUUUAAAUUAUGUUAAUAUUUUAGUACGAAAGGACCAAAUAUUUAUAAUAAUUAUUUUAUUUUGAAUAUUAUUAAUUUAUUUUGGCAGAAUAGUGCAUUAAAUUUAGAAUUUAAUUAUGUAUAAUUAUACAAGUAAAAAUCUUUUUAAUUGAUAUUAUUAUAAUAGUAAUUAGAUUUUUAAUUUUAAUUGUUUGUGUGUUAGUGG